rnacentral:rRNA from 1 species
AGCAGCCGCGGUAAUUCCAGCUCCAAUAGCGUAUAUUAAAGUUGUUGCAGUUAAAAAGCUCGUAGUUGAAUUUCGGGACCAAUUUGUUGGUCGUGCCUCGGUACGUACUGGUAUUAUUGGUUUCUACCUUCUGAAGAACCUUGAUGUCAUUAAUUUGGUGUCUUGGGGAAUCAGGACUGUUACUUUGAAAAAUUAGAGUGUUUAAAGCAAGCAUACGCUUGAAUACAUUAGCAUGGAAUAAUGAAAUAGGACGUUUGAUUCUAUUUUGUUGGUUUCUAGGAUCGACGUAAUGAUUAAUAGGAAUAGUUGGGGGCAUUAGUAUUCAAUUGUCAGAGGUGAAAUUCUUGGAUUUAUUGAAGACUAACUACUGCGAAAGCAUUUGCCAAGGAUGUUUUCAUUAAUCAAGAACGAAAGUUAGGGGAUCGAAGACGAUCAGAUACCGUCGUAGUCUUAACCAUAAACUAUGCCGACUAGGGAUCGGAUGAUGUUAAUUUUUAAUGACUCAUUCGGCGCCUUACGG